GAUGAACGCUGGCGGCGUGCUUAAUACAUGCAAGUCGAACGGAAAGACCCUGCUUUUGCGGGGUGCACGAGAGGCGAACGGGGGAGAAAAACGCGAGUAAAACGCACUUGUAUUAGGGAUAAAAUCAGGGAAAAGGGGCUCAAACAGGAUAGGAGAUACUGAUGCGCGGGGGGGGAUGGAAAGUGUCGGCGGUUGGGGAUGGACUAGCGGCUUCUCAGCUGGUUGGUGGGGUAGUGGCGUACCACGCCUAUGACGGGUAGGCGGCCUGAGAGGGUGACCGGCCACCUGGGGACUGAGGUACGGCCCAGUCGCCUACGGGAGGCAGCAGUGGGGAACAUUGCGCAAUGGGCGGAAGCCUGAUGCAGCAACGCCGCGUGCGUGAUGCCGUCCUUCGAGUUGUAAACCGCUUUCGCCUUUGACGAAGCGUGAGUGACGGUAAUUGGUAAAGAAGCACCGGCUAACUACGUG
rnacentral:rRNA from 1 species